CAUACCACCUAAUGAAGAACAACUAAUAUUCAGAACACUGGUUCAGCUUGGGACGGGAGACAACAAAGAUGGCACACAACAAGGGCUCAUCUCUGUCCAAUGCCCGUGGUCAUGAAAGUUGUGUUGGAAGUGAAACCAGGGAUUCCAUUUCCCUUCUGGAUGUUUUGUACUCAAAUGCAUUUGAAGAAGAGGACAUAGACUCAGCAGUAGCGAAAAAGGCAGAGGCAGAUUUUUACAGAGGAGCCCCACCUCAAUGGCUUAACUUCUGCUGGGCUGAAAAGGCAACAUCAGCUAAUAAAACUACCCCCUUUAUCAAAAGAGAUGGGUACACGGAGCUGAUACAAAAUAUUAAGAAACAGCUUAAGGGCGACCUGACUUCUACCAUGAAUCUGCUGCAUCAGCCAGGCAGCGGAGGAACCACUCUGGCCAAGCAGGUGCUCUGGGAUAUGAGGAAAACACUCAGAUGUGCUGUUCUAACAGGCCCUACCUCAGACUUCACCGCUAUCGCCAAGGAGGUGAUUCUCCUUUUCACUGCAGGCAGCCAAGGCCACCAGAACACUGUGCUCUUACUGCUGAAUGAUGUGUGUAUUCAGAAGAAUCUGCAGGAUGCCAUCAUGAAAGAGAUUACAGACCGAAACAUUACAACCCACAUGCCUGUGGUCAUCAUUUUAAACUGUGUGCGUAAGGCAGUUAUCAAACAAGAGGACCAUAACAACUCAAGACAUGUUAUUCUCAGGGCGGAACUUUCUGAAGCAGAGAAACAACAGUUUGAGGAGAAACAGAUUGAGAUCAGUCGAAGCUACAGCAAUGAACACAAACAGUUUCAUGGCUUUAACAUAAUGCGAGAAAAUAUUAGUGGAGAUUAUGUGAAAGAAACGUGUGCCUUUUUAGAUGUCAGGAAAAAUAGAAGACCUAAAAAAUCCCAGCUUCUUGCAUUCUUAUCACUGGUGAAUGCCUACGUCCCUGGAUCCCACCUUCUGGAGUCUCACUGUCAGGCAUUCCUGGGGCCUCCAGAUCCCAUUUAUGGAGGCCCUUCCUUUGAGCAGCGAAUGGAGCCUUUCAGUCAUCUGAUAGUGACAUUCCCUUCACAACAGGGACAAGACAAACACGUCCGCAUGGCUCACCCACUGAUUGCACAGCAGUGUGUUGAGUUACUGGCUACAGCAGGUGUGACCAGGAGUGAUACAGCAAGGAACUUUCUGACUGACUUUUGUGGAGAAGAGGUGCAGCAACAUUUGAUGUCCGUCAUCAAAGAUAUGCUAACUAAGAGGGAAAUCACUGUGGAUGUUAAGCAGAAUGCAGAAUGGAAACGAGACAUGUUAACGAAAGGGGAAAUGAGAGAAGAAAGGAAAGGCAAGUUUUCCAGGUUGAUUCAAGAUAUUGAAGAUACUGAAGGCCAAGAAUCCAAAAGCAAGUGUGUAUCUGUUUUACAACUAGCUUCAAAGAAAUUCAAGCAAAACCCAUUAUUUCCUCAAGCUCUUGCUCGUUACUUUUAUAUUGUGAAGAGAGCCUAUACUAAAGCGGAGAAGUGGGCAAAAAUAGCAAAAGACAGAGAUCCCAACAAUUCAUUUGUUGCUGACACACUGGGGCAUGUAUACAAGAACCAUUUGAUGAGCAGGAUGACAGUAGAGCAGAGUUCCUUCAGGGUUCCCAAACAGCUGGGUUCCAUCUCUGCACAAGAAAUUUUGCAACUAUCAACAAUGGCCUUUGAGGCUUUCAAAGAUGAGGAAUGGGCUGCUGAAAAUGAGCAGGGAGCAGACAUGCAAUACGAUGGUAUUAACAAAGUCUCACACAUCUAUAACAACAGGGGACUAUUUGGUUAUCUACAGGUUGCCAACAUUGUUUUUGACUCACUUGUCUCUCUUGAUAAAAACUGGCAAAAGGUCCUUACCAUGGAAAUAUCCGCUGACUCUUUCUUCAUAUCAAUCGGACAGAAAAAGCUCUUCAAGUACAAGCCACUCAUCAUCAGCCUCAGGGAUGAGGUGGAGAGGAAAUGUGAGUUUUUUGAUGGUUACCUGACUUACUCUAAGCCCAACAUUAAAGAAAAUGAACCGCAUUACUUUCAGACUGAUGUCAAGAACUGCUACUGCAAAUACGUGGGGACAUGUACACCUAUACACUCAGAGUCUGCAAUAGAUGUACCCCUCCAGAAGCUCAAAGAAGAAAUGGCCAUUGCCUUCCCUGGACUGCUUUGCUGUCUUGAUAAGGGCUAUGAUGAAUCUAACUUACGCCGAAUAACAACAUUGUGGGGGGAAAUAAAAAAUAAAAAAAACAAGAAAGAUGGUGACAACAAAGCGUCCCAAAACUUCAUCCUUGCCAACAUCAUCUUAAGCAAAGUUGAAGCAGCAUCUCCAGUGCUUACCCCGUUGUCAAGCCUAAGAAGCACUCUGGAGAGACAUCUAGUGGCUAAUCUCAGUAACCAAACCCCAGAGUUUUACUUCUUAGUCCUUUUGCUGUUUUGGCCUGAGGAGCAUAAGAAAAUGGAUUUCAAUAUUGACCUCAACAAAUGUGUUCUGGAGAUGCAAGAGUCCUACAAAAACACAUACAAAAAGCAUCUUCGCUCAAGGUACCUUCUCCCCCUUAUUUUCCUGGGUAAGGGUGAGGGUUUGAGCAGACUGGUUCAUAGAGCAAAAAUAGACAACCUAUUGGUAGAGGAGAAUCCAAUGGCAAGGCCAGAGGCAAGGCCAGACUUUAUCUCUCAAAAGUGGAGCAGUGGUGAGGUGUGGAGAAAACCCAGUGUCCAGGACCUUCUUCUUCCAGUCAAUGGAGUGGUUAGACAGCACAGGGUGUUUGCGCACGUUGAUGGCAAGGAGAUUAACGUUUGUGCCGGCCAACAAAGCAAAGUUUGGAAGUCCGGAGACGUCUGCUUCUACCUUGGCUUCACCAUUAGAGGUCCUGUGGCCUACGACAUCAACUACCCAUCCUAUUCAGGGCCAGUGAGAAGUUGAACAACAUGCCAAUGUGAUGGCCAGCACUUUGAGGACUUCACCGGACAGAACUGAUCUAGAGAGUGAACCAGAUGAAGCCCAUCUUGGAUAAACUCAUCACUGACAAGAGCUAAAGUUCAGUACUGGCUGAACGCACCACACAGGACCAGAUGGGGGAGCUCUCCACAGGACUGAGGGCAAGUGGCAUCAGAGCAAAAUAUAUUUUCUAUGAAAUCCUGACGGAGCUGGAGCCACUGCUAAUCAAAGACCUGAAGGGUGAAUGAGGAGCUGGAAUGGUGAACUGGGGACAUUUAAAGUUUGUUUUAGGGGAAAAGGGCAUACAUGACGGCAGUUCCGCUUUGUUUUACUACUUUGUGUUUACAAUAAAACACAACCUAAGAGAGGUAUAGCCUCAUUCUUUUAUCAUUCUUAUUUUUCUACAUGUAAAUAUUAGUAGCCAGCAGAACAGCAACCAGCAACCUAGUGUUUUAGCCUUGAGGCUUUGCCAAAGAUAUAACAUUUUGAGGGAGCUUGGGGUCUGGUAAAAGUUGGGUUGGAAGAUAAAUGCUCAACCAUCUCACCUAGAUACUCUGGAUCAUUUACAGACAAGAAAAUAUAUAAAGAAAAUAUAUAAUGAAAAUACAAAAAUAUACUGUGUAAAGAAUCGAUGAUAAAAAGAACAAUUCAAUUAUUUUGGCUACUAAAUGAUUGACAAGUCAGUGAGGGUAAGGAAUACCAGCGAUCUAAAUACAUGUAUGAUAUGACUUUGUAAAGCUUUAUGUACAAGCCUAAUACAACUUUUUAAACAGUAAUGAUAUGUGAGAAUUUUUGUGACAUUUUCACAACACAGGUUUUAGAAUAUGUAUUGAAAUAAAUACCUACGUACAGAUGUGGCUUUGUCCUGAUUUAAAUGAGACUAAACUGAAAUGAUGCUAUUUUGUUAGUGUGCUAAAAUGAAUAUAUAUUUGAGCCCUUGUGGCUCAGCUGAUAGAGCAUGGCACUGUGUUUUGGGUUAAAUUCCCAUGGUGGAGAAAUACAAAAAAUGUAUGCACUCACUUACUGUAAAUAGCUCUGGAUAAGGGUCUGCUAAUACAUACAGUGCUUUUGGAAAGUAUUCAGACCCUUUGACUUUUUCCACAUUUUGUUACAUUACAGCCUUAUUCAAUACCCAAUACUGACAAACUCAAAAUUAAAUAUAUAGUACCAGUCAAAAGUUUGGACACUCCUACUCAUUCAAGGGCUUUCU